UACGGAGGGGGCUAGCGUUGUUCGGAAUUACUGGGCGUAAAGCGCGCGUAGGCGGCUUUGUAAGUUAGAGGUGAAAGCCCGGGGCUCAACUCCGGAAUUGCCUUUAAGACUGCAUCGCUUGAACAUCGGAGAGGUAAGUGGAAUUCCGAGUGUAGAGGUGAAAUUCGUAGAUAUUCGGAAGAACACCAGUGGCAAGGCGACUACUGGA
rnacentral:rRNA from 1 species